UACGUAGGGUGCAAGCGUUAAUCGGAAUUACUGGGCGUAAAGCGUGCGCAGGCGGUUUUGUAAGUCAGAUGUGAAAUCCCCGGGCUUAACCUGGGAACUGCGUUUGAAACUACAAGGCUAGAGUGUGGCAGAGGGGGGUGGAAUUCCACGUGUAGCAGUGAAAUGCGUAGAUAUGUGGAGGAACACCGAUGGCGAAGGCAGCCCCCUGGGUCAAGACUGACGCUCAUGCACGAAAGCGUGGGGAGCGAACAGG
rnacentral:rRNA from 1 species